GAUGAACGCUGGCGGCGUGCCUAAUACAUGCAAGUCGAGCGAACGGACGAGGAGCUUGCUUCUCUGAUGUUAGCGGCGGACGGGUGAGUAACACGUGGAUAACCUACCUAUAAGACUGGGAUAACUUCGGGAAACCGGAGCUAAUACCGGAUGAUAUUUUGCACCGCAUGGUUCAAAAGUGAAAGACGGUCUUGCUGGCACUUAUAGAUGGAUCCGCGCUGCAUUAGCUAGUUGGUAAGUUAACGGCUUAUCAAGGCAACGAUGCAUAGCCGACCUGAGAGGGUGAUCGGCCACACUGGAACUGAGCCACGGUCCAGACUCCUACGGGAGGCAGCAGUAGGGAAUCUUCCGCAAUGGGCGAAAGCCUGACGGAGCAACGCCGCGUGAGUGAUGAAGGUCUUCGGAUCGUAAAGCUCUGUUAUGAGGGAAGAACAUAUGUGUAAGUAACUGUGCACAUCUUGACGGUACCUAAUCAGAAAGCCACGGCUAACUACGUG
rnacentral:rRNA from 1 species